rnacentral:rRNA from 1 species
UACGUAGGGGGCAAGCGUUGUCCGGAAUCAUUGGGCGUAAAGAGCGUGUAGGCGGCCCGGUAAGUCCGCUGUGAAAGUCCAGGGCUCAACCCUGGAAUGCCGGUGGAAACUGUCGGGCUAGAGUCCGGAAGAGGCGAGUGGAAUUCCUGGUGUAGCGGUGAAAUGCGCAGAUAUCAGGAGGAACACCAAUGGCGAAGGCAGCUCGCUGGGACGGUACUGACACUGAGAGACGAAAGCUAGGGGAGCGAAUGGG